UACGUAGGGGGCUAGCGUUGUCCGGAUUUAUUGGGCGUAAAGAGCGUGUAGGCGGCCAUGUAGGUCCGGUGUGAAAACUCGAGGCUUAACCUCGAGAUGUCAUCGGAAACCAUUUGGCUAGAGUCCGGAAGAGGAGAGUGGAAUUCCCGGUGUAGCGGUGAAAUGCGCAGAUAUCGGGAAGAACACCCGUGGCGAAGGCGGCUCUCUGGGACGGUACUGACGCUGAGACGCGAAAGCGUGGGGAGCGAACAGG
rnacentral:rRNA from 1 species